ACAGAGGGUGCAAGCGUUAAUCGGAGUUAUUGGGCGUAAAGGGCGCGUAGGUGGAUACUUAAGUCAAUUGUGAAAUACCCGGGCUUAACCUGGGAAUUGCAUUUGAUACUGGGUGUCUAGAGUAUGGGAGAGGAAAGCGGAAUUCCCGGUGUAGCGGUAAAAUGCGUAGAUAUCGGGAAGAACACCAGUGCGAAGGCGGCUUUCUGGACCAAUACUGACACUGAGGCGCGAAAGCGUGGGGAGCAAACAG
rnacentral:rRNA from 1 species